rnacentral:rRNA from 1 species
AUUGAACGCUGGCGGCAGGCCUAACACAUGCAAGUCGAGCGGAGGAAGGGAGCUUGCUCCUGGAUUCAGCGGCGGACGGGUGAGUAAUGCCUAGGAAUCUUCCUGGUAGUGGGGGAUAACGUCCGGAAACGGGCGCUAAUACCGCAUACGUCCUGAGGGAGAAAGUGGGGGAUCUUCGGACCUCACGCUAUCAGAUGAGCCUAGGUCGGAUUAGCUAGUUGGUGGGGUAAAGGCCUACCAAGGCGACGAUCCGUAACUGGUCUGAGAGGAUGAUCAGUCACACUGGAACUGAGACACGGUCCAGACUCCUACGGGAGGCAGCAGUGGGGAAUAUUGGACAAUGGGCGAAAGCCUGAUCCAGCCAUGCCGCGUGUGUGAAGAAGGUCUUCGGAUUGUAAAGCACUUUCAGUUGGGAGGAAGGGCAGUAAGUUAAUACCUUGCUGUUUUGACGUUACCAACAGAAUAAGCACCGGCUAACUUCGUG